rnacentral:rRNA from 1 species
GAUGAACGCUGGCGGCGUGCCUAAUACAUGCAAGUCGAGCGAACAGACGAUGAGCUUGCUCCUCUGACGUUAGCGGCGGACGGGUGAGUAACACGUGGAUAACCUACCUAUAAGACGUGGAUAACUUCGGGAAACCGGAGCUAAUACCGGAUAAUAUAUUGAACCGCAUGGUUCAAUAGUGAAAGACGGUUUUGCUGUCACUUAUAGAUGUAUCCGCGCCGCAUUAGCUAGUUGGUAAGGUAACGGCUUACCAAGGCGACGAUGCGUAGCCGACCUGAGAGGGUGAUCGGCCACACUGGAACUGAGACACGGUCCAGACUCCUACGGGAGGCAGCAGUAGGGAAUCUUCCGCAAUGGGCGAAAGCCUGACGGAGCAACGCCGCGUGAGUGAUGAAGGUCUUCGGAUCGUAAAACUCUGUUAUUAGGGAAGAACAAAUGUGUAAGUAACUAUGCACGUCUUGACGGUACCUAAUCAGAAAGCCACGGCUAACUACGUG